GACAGAGGGGGCAAGCGUUGCUCGGAAUCACUGGGCGUAAAGGGCGCGUAGGCGGGAUGGCAAGUCGGUCGUGAAAUCUCUCGGCUCAACCGAGAAACGUCGGCCGAUACUGCCGUUCUUGAGGGAUGCAGAGGAGACUGGAAUUCCCGGUGUAGCGGUGAAAUGUGUAGAGAUCGGGAGGAACACCGGUGGCGAAGGCGGGUCUCUGGGCAUCUCCUGACGCUGAGGCGCGAAAGCGUGGGGAGCAAACGGG
rnacentral:rRNA from 1 species